rnacentral:rRNA from 1 species
GACGAACGCUGGCGGCGUGCCUAAUACAUGCAAGUAGAACGCACAGUUUAUACCGUAGCUUUCUCCACCAUAAACUGUGAGUUGCGAACGGGUGAGUAACGCGUAGGUAACCUGCCUGGUAGCGGGGGAUAACUAUUGGAAACGAUAGCUAAUACCGCAUAAUAUUGAUUAUUGCAUGAUAAUUGAUUGAAAGAUGCUAUUGCAUCACUACCAGAUGGACCUGCGUUGUAUUAGCUAGUAGGUGAGGUAACGGCUCACCUAGGCGACGAUACAUAGCCGACCUGAGAGGGUGAUCGGCCACACUGGGACUGAGACACGGCCCAGACUCCUACGGGAGGCAGCAGUAGGGAAUCUUCGGCAAUGGACGAAAGUCUGACCGAGCAACGCCGCGUGAGUGAAGAAGGUUUUCGGAUCGUAAAGCUCUGUUGUAAGAGAAGAACGGGUGUGAGAGUGGAAAGUUCACACUGUGACGGUAUCUUACCAGAAAGGGACGGCUAACUACGUG